GUAUCCAAGUAAUAACUGAGAUCUGGCACUCUGCUCAUAUCCGCUUGAUAUUUUCCUUCUCUACGAUCAUGCAUCAAACGUUCUUUUCUAUUUCAGCCGUCACUCAACGAAGUUCCUCAGAAUUGUCGUCAGAGUGAAAAAAAUUUCUGGAGACACGGUAUACCUCAGGACCCUUGGAACAAGAAGCUUAUCAAUGACAUCGAGUGGGAAACUGGAAUGAAAUGGAUUUUUUGCGCAACUAUUUAGGAUUCUUUAAGUAAAAGGUGAAAAGAAUUUUUAUGUUUCAAUAAUAGUUUGUGUCCCUGGUUGAAAAAUAAAAAAAUAUACAACUGUAAUUAAA